GAAUGCAGGAGUGAUCUGGCAGUGACAUCUGUCACUCCUCUGACAGCUGGGGUUGAUUCAGUUGAUCUGGCUGACUAGAUGAGUGUCCCUCUUCCCCUCACCACCCCAGGUGUGUUCUUCCCUGAGCUGCACACUCCAUCAAAGAGGACAGAAUUCCUGAAUGGAGACAGCCUAGUCUUUGGUGGAUGCUUCUGUACUCUCUUGCUAGAACCUCCAAACAAGCUCUCAAGGUCCAUUUGGGGUACUGCCACACCAAUUUGAGAUAUGUGCCAGAAUUUCACAUUGUAACUACAUUAUAGUAGACUUUACAUCUUA
rnacentral:snRNA from 1 species